rnacentral:rRNA from 1 species
AACGAACGCUGGCGGCAUGCCUAACACAUGCAAGUCGAACGAGACCUUCGGGUCUAGUGGCGCACGGGUGCGUAACGCGUGGGAACCUGCCCUUAGGUUCGGAAUAACUCCCCGAAAGGGGUGCUAAUACCGGAUAAUGUCUUCGGACCAAAGAUUUAUCGCCUUUGGAUGGGCCCGCGUUGGAUUAGCUAGUUGGUUGGGUAAAAGCCUACCAAGGCGACGAUCCAUAGCUGGUCUGAGAGGAUGAUCAGCCACACUGGGACUGAGACACGGCCCAGACUCCUACGGGAGGCAGCAGUGGGGAAUAUUGGACAAUGGGCGAAAGCCUGAUCCAGCAAUGCCGCGUGAGUGAUGAAGGCCUUAGGGUUGUAAAGCUCUUUUACCCGGGAUGAUAAUGACAGUACCGAGAGAAUAAGCUCCGGCUAACUCCGUG